rnacentral:lncRNA from 1 species
GUGCCGCGGCAGCUCUCGGUGCGACACAGGCACGGGAUCUUGGUGUCCCCAAAGCCCACCAUGAUGUUCCUGGUGGUCACCAAAGCCCACCAAGAUGUUCCUGGUGGUCCCCAAGCCCCCCAGGGUGGUUUUGGUGGUCUCCAAAGCCCACCCGAGGUCAGUUGAG